CCUACGGGCGGCAGCAGUGAGGAAUAUUGGUCAAUGGGCGCACGCCUGAACCAGCCAAGUCGCGUGAGGGAAGACUGCCCUAUGGGUUGUAAACCUCUUUUGUCAGGGAGCAAUUGGCGCUACGUGUAGCGUUAUCGAGAGUACCUGAAGAAAAAGCAUCGGCUAACUCCGUGCCAGCAGCCGCGGUAAUACGGAGGAUGGGAGCGUUAUCCGGAUUUAUUGGGUUUAAAGGGUGCGUAGGCGGAAUGCCAAGUCAGCGGGAAAAUCGCGGGGCUCAACCUCGCUCCGCCGUUGAAACUGGCGUUCUUGAGUGGGCGAGAAGCAUGCGGAAUGCGUGGUGUAGCGGUGAAAUGCAUAGAUAUCACGCAGAACUCCGAUUGCGAAGGCAGCAUACCGGCGCCCAACUGACGCUGAAGCACGAAAGCGUGGGUAUCGAACAGGAUUAGAUACCCUGGUAGUC
rnacentral:rRNA from 1 species